rnacentral:rRNA from 1 species
AUACGGAUGGUGCGAGCGUUGUUCGGAAUUACUGGGCGUAAAGGGCGCGUAGGCGGCGAUGUAAGUCAAAUGUGAAAGUCCUCGGCUUAACCGGGGAAGUGCAUCUGAAACUGCAUUGCUUGAGUAUGGGAGAGGAAAGUGGAAUUCCCGGUGUAGAGGUGAAAUUCGUAGAGAUCGGGAGGAAUACCGGUGGCGAAGGCGACUUUCUGGACCAAUACUGACGCUGAGGCGCGAAAGCGUGGGGAGCAAACAGGAUUAGAAACCCUAGUAGUCCC